CGGAGAAUAGAACUAGUGCACAUGAUCCGAGCACAUGGGCACGUGUAAGUUCUUCAGCAAUUUCACCCAGUUUCCGGUGCCAUUUCCCAAAGCUCCCGCUCUCUCCAAUCGCAUCAUCUCUGUAAAACCUUUCCGUCACUCUCUUGCUCUUUUUUCCCGUCUCUUCAAUCUCCGAUCCUUCAAUUCCACCAGGAUAUAGAUUUCUCCCGCUCCCUCACCCCUUUAAAAAUCAAUACAAACCGCAUUGAAUCUCGAAACUCAACUUCUUCGAGGUUCGAUUGUUUGCAGGGUUCUUCUGAUUUGAUAAUUGUGGAUGAGAGAGAAGUAGGGGGACCAAUUCUAAUGAGUAUGGAGAUCGGGACAGAUGCGGCGUUGUUCGACGCUGAAAUUCUGCAGCUGCCGGAGGUGUCUCCUCUGACCCUCAAAUCGAACCCGGCCUUCGUUGAGAAGCUCUUCGAGCUGUGGCUCUCGCUUCCCGACUCUAAUCGGCAGGUGACAUCAUUGGUUAACGAAGUAAAGGCAGGUGGUCCCUUGAGUGUCCCUGGAAACUCUUCCAGUCCACAUGCUUCCUCCAAUAUUUUGCCUUCUAUGUUUCCUGCCGGAAGUGGCCCCCCGUUGUCACCGAGAAGUAUAUCUGGUUCUCCUCGGAUAAUGAAACAGAGGGCUGGUCCCUCAAAUUUAGCUUCACCCCUGAAAGUGGUUAGUGAGCCAGUUAAAGAAUUGAUACCUCAGUUUUACUUUCAAAAUGGGCGUCCACCUCCAAAUGAACUAAAAGAGCAAUGUUUACUUAGAGCUAAUCAGUUUUUCUGUGGCCAGUUGGAUGGGCUUCAGAUGCAUGAAUUUAAAUCAGUUACUAAGGAUGUGUGCAAGCUACCAUCAUUCUUCUCUAUGCCGCUUUUCAGAAAGAUUGAUAUUAAUAGCUCUGGUUUUGUGACAAGGGAUGCAUUUCUUGAUUAUUGGGUUAAUGGAAACAUGUUGACAAUGGAUAUAGCAACCCAAAUAUAUACCAUUUUGAAGCAACCAGAUGUCAAAUUUCUUACCCAGGAUGACUUCAAACCUGUGCUUCAAGAACUUUUGGCAGCUCAUCCAGGGUUGGAGUUCUUGCAGAGCACACCAGAGUUUCAAGAAAGAUAUGCUGAAACUGUAAUAUACAGAAUAUUUUACUACGUAAAUAGAGCUGGGAAUGGUCAUCUUAGCCUCAGGGAGUUGAAACGUGGAAACUUAAUUGAUGCAAUGCAACAUGCAGAUGAAGAAGAGGACAUCAACAAAGUUUGGAGGUACUUCUCUUAUGAACAUUUCUAUGUUAUAUACUGCAAGUUUUGGGAGCUGGAUACGGAUCAUGAUUUUUUGAUCGACAAGGAGAACCUUAUCAGAUAUGGUAACCAUGCGCUUACCUACCGGAUUGUUGAUAGAAUAUUUUCUCAGGUUGCAAGGAAGUUCACUAGUAAGGUUGAGGGUAAGAUGGGGUAUGAAGAUUUUGUGUACUUCAUACUGUCUGAGGAAGAUAAAUCAUCUGAACCUAGUCUUGAGUAUUGGUUCAAAUGCAUUGAUCUGGAUGGAAAUGGGAUUCUCACACGGAAUGAACUGCAAUUCUUUUAUGAGGAGCAGUUGCAUCGAAUGGAAUGCAUGGCCCAGGAGCCUGUGCUCUUUGAGGAUAUAUUGUGCCAAAUAAUUGACAUGAUUGGACCUGAGAAUGAGAGCUAUAUCACACUACGUGACCUGAAAGGGUGUAAACUUUCAGGAAGUGUAUUCAAUAUCCUUUUUAACCUUAAUAAGUUUAUGGCCUUUGAAACUCGUGAUCCAUUUCUCAUUCGCCAGGAACGUGAAAAUCCAACAUUGACAGAAUGGGAUCGCUUUGCACAUAGAGAAUAUAUUAGACUUUCGAUGGAGGAAGAUGUUGAAGAUGCCUCCAAUGGGAGUGCAGAAGUCUGGGAUGAAUCACUUGAGGCUCCUUUCUGAGUCAACCUGAGUUGACUGAAUGAACCUAGCAUGGAUUGGAGGAUCAUAUCCACCUGAGAUUCUGCAUUGAUCUUUGCACCCAAGAUCUCCAAUUCAUUUAGUACAGGUCUUGCCAAGGAAGCUCCGGAUUCUUGUAAAUUGGCCAUCCGUCAAACUGUUGAAUUCAUGUAUCAGUUCUUGAAUGGGCUGUGCAGAUACUAUCGACCACAUCAGGCAGAAAUUGUUUGCGUGGAUUUAUGGAAUGGGUUUUUGAUGCGCCAGAAGUGAGUGUUCAGAUCCCACUGCAUUGAAUUGACAUACAAUGAGAGUUACAAAGGAACCUCCCUUUACACCAUUCAAAACUCUCUCCUGGAGGUGUGAGUAUAUAAUGCCAGAUUGAAGUAAUUCGGAGCAUUUAGUAUAUUUGAUUAUUUUUCCUUUUUCGAUUAUCUUUGUAAGAUAUAAUUUUAUGUCUUCCUUGUCUAUUUAAUCCCUUUUUGAGUUACUGAAUCGUUAUUAUAAUUUAUGUGCUUUUGGAAAUUUUGGCUUAAAUUCUCCUCAUUUGUCAAUUUGAUUCUAGUUUCUGUUCCUUGA